GACGAACGCUAGCGGCGUGCCUAAUACAUGCAAGUAGGACGCAGUUGCGAACGGGUGAGUAACGCGUAGGUAACUACCUAUUAGAGGGGGAUAACUCUUGGCCACGAUCGCUAAUACCGCAUACUAGUAGAUGGACCUGCGUUGUAUUAGCUAGUAGGUAGGGUAAUGGCCUACCUAGGCAACGAUACAUAGACGACGUGUGAGGGUGAUCGGCCAAACGGGGACUGAGACACGGGUCAGACUCCGAAGGGAGGCAGCAGGAGGUAAUCAUCGGCAAUGGGGGGAAGCGUGACCGAGCAACGCAGCGUGAGUGAAGAAGGUUUUCGGAUCGGAAAGCUCUGUUGUUAAGGAAGCGGUACUUAACCAGAAAGGGACGGCUAACUACGUGCCAGCCGCCGCGGUAAUUC
rnacentral:rRNA from 1 species